rnacentral:rRNA from 1 species
AGUGAACGCUGGCGGUAGGCCUAACACAUGCAAGUCGAACGGCAGCACAGUAAGAGCUUGCUCUUACGGGUGGCGAGUGGCGGACGGGUGAGGAAUACAUCGGAAUCUACUUUUUCGUGGGGGAUAACGUAGGGAAACUUACGCUAAUACCGCAUACGACCUACGGGUGAAAGCAGGGGAUCUUCGGAACUUGCGCGAUUGAAUGAGCCGAUGUCGGAUUAGCGAGUUGGCGGGGUAAAGGCCCACCAAGGCGACGAUCCGUAGCUGGUCUGAGAGGAUGAUCAGCCACACUGGAACUGAGACACGGUCCAGACUCCUACGGGAGGCAGCAGUGGGGAAUCUUGGACAAUGGGCGCAAGCCUGAUCCAGCCAUACCGCGUGGGUGAAGAAGGCCUUCGGGUUGUAAAGCCCUUUUGUUGGGAAAGAAAAGCAGCAGGUUAAUACCCCGCUGUUCUGACGGUACCCAAAGAAUAAGCACCGGCUAACUUCGU